rnacentral:tRNA from 1 species
GACAGGGUGGCUGAGCCAGGUAAAGCGUUGCGCUGUUAACGCAAAGAUCGCAGGUCCGAAGCCUGCCCCUGUCG